rnacentral:rRNA from 1 species
UACGGGGGGGGCAAGCGUUGUUCGGAAUUACUGGGCGUAAAGGGCUCGUAGGCGUCCAACUAAGUCAUACGUGAAAUCCCUCGGCUUAACCGGGGAACUGCGUCUGAUACUGGAUGGCUUGAGUUCGGGAGAGGGAUGCGGAAUUCCAGGUGUAGCGGUGAAAUGCGUAGAUAUCUGGAGGAACACCGGUGGCGAAGGCGGGUCUCUGGGCCGAUACUGACGCUGAGGAGCGAAAGCGUGGGGAGCGAACAGG